rnacentral:rRNA from 1 species
CCUACGGGAGGCAGCAGUGGGGAAUUUUGGACAAUGGGCGCAAGCCUGAUCCAGCUAUUCCGCGUGUGGGAAGACGGCCUUCGGGUUGUAAACCACUUUUGUAGAGAACGAAAAGUCUGUUGAUAAUACCGAUAGAUGAUGACGGUACUCUAAGAAUAAGCACCGGCUAACUACGUGCCAGCAGCCGUGGUAGUACGUAGGGUGCGAGCGUUAAUCGGAAUUACUGGGCGUAAAGGGUGUGCAGGCGGUUUUGCAAGAUUGAUGUGAAAGCCCCGGGCUUAACCUGGGAAAGCCAUACAUGACUGCAAGACUAGAGUGCGUCAGAGGGGGGUGGAAUUCCAAGUGUAGCAGUGAAAUGCGUAGAUAUUUGGAAGAACACCGAUGGCGAAGGCAGCCUCCUGGAACGCAACUGACGCUCAUACACGAAAGCGUGGGGAGCAAACAGGAUUAGAUACCCCUGUAGUC